GAUAGAAGGUUCUCGAAAAAAAGGCUUCUAACCUUGUUUUAAGCGGUGAGAUUCCGUUUUUCUGUCU
rnacentral:tRNA from 1 species